CUACGGGCCGCUGCAGUGGGGAAUAUUGGACAAUGGGGGAAACCCUGAUCCAGCAAUGCCGCGUGUGUGAAGAAGGCCUGCGGGUUGUAAAGCACUUUCGGUUGGGAGGACUGCUUCUAGCACUAAUAUUGUUGGAAGUUGACGUUACCUUCAGAAGAAGCACCGGCUAACUCCGUGCCAGCGAGCCGCGGUAAUACGGGAGGGUGCAAGCGUUAAUCGGAAUUACUGGGCGUAAAGCGCGCGUAGGCGGCUAGAUCAGUUGGGUGUGAAAGCCCCGGGCUUAACCUGGGAACUGCAUCCGAUACUGUCUAGCUUGAGUACAGGAGAGGAGAGUGGAAUUCCACAUGUAGCGGUGAAAUGCGUAGAUAUGUGGAGGAACACCAAUGGCGAAGGCAGCUCUCUGGCCUGAUACUGACGCUGAGGUGCGAAAGCGUGGGGAGCAAACAGGAUUAGAUACCCCCGUAGUC
rnacentral:rRNA from 1 species